UAACACACAAUGCAAACUUCUCGGUUCAGAAAACCUGACGUCAUGCGAGAUACCGCACCCAAACUCCAUAAUAAUAAAAACAGUCAGCUUGAGUGCGUCCAUUUGCCUGUUUUUGCUUUCAUGUAGGCAUCACACAAGUGAGGUCUUCCACUAAAAGUGUGAACGGGAAGUGGGUGCAAAAAGCAAAGUCCAAGUAGAGCGAUUAAAAAAAACAAAAAAACAAACGAAACAAAAACAAAAAAACAACGCUAUGGUGUUCAUUCACUGACCUCAUGCUUGUUUAUCCAAUCAAGACUGACUUUUACAGAGCAAAAAUAACCCCCCCCCCAAAAAAAUGGACAAUUACAUGCUAGAGGCUUCAUUCGUUUUCACAGGAAGCCUAUUCAUUGUCGAGCCUUGAAUUGUUAUUUGGACAGAUCAAGAAGGGGACGUUUGGGCCCAUCGGCAGCUGUUCUUCUCAAGCAUGCAGAUUUGAGUGAAGAUGAUGAUGAGAUCACGUUACAUCAUGCGCUCUUUGACAAAGGUUUAAAAAAAAAACAAAAAAACAGUAGGGCAUGAUGCAGUGAAGAGAUGAAAAUGACUCUUUUAAAACACUGAAGUCUUUGAAGUGAUCAAUGUCCGUCUUUGGACUCACCGGGAGCGGCAAAGCGUACCAGGCACUUUUCAUUCAAUGCAAACGACAGUGUUUGCUCUCUGUGACAUAUUCCGCUUUCGCGUACAGAACAAAUGUUGACAGAGCUAUUAUUUUGCGCGUUCGGAUUCAUGGGCGGAGCGCUUCGAGUGGAACAGUCGGCGAGUCCAGCGCUGUCGCCGUCUCGCGCUGUCGCACGAGCACGUCGACGACAAGCUGUGACGAGAGAAGGCAAAAAGGAAGAGUGUCGUUGGGAUGUACCGCGCCAAAUUGUGCUGAUAAGGAAAGAAACCGUAUGGACACGUUGUGGGUUUGUUGGAUGGAGAGGAGACCCGCCAAUGUACCUGUGCCUGUGCUUGGAGUUUUUCUUUGCUUCUACAUGGAUCAUUGGAGAAAAUGUUCACCAGUCUGGAAAUAUAAUAUCUUCUGGCGUCCAAUAAGAUGGAGAUGAUGCUUGUACCUGUGCCAGUGCCACACCUUUAUCAUCUGGUAAUUAAAUAUUUAUAUAUGCCAUCUUCAUCUGUUCCCUGUGAACGAGUGUUUUCUAAGGCAGGGGAACUCGUGUCCAAGGGGAGAAAUCGCCUUGUAGCAAAGACACUUACAAAAUGUUUGUUGCUCAAUGAAAAUGUAUGAAUGAAUGAAUGAACGAAUCAAUUUUUGUUGUUUUUCUUUCAGAUGAUUGAACACUUUGAGACACAAAAUCCCAUACAUACUGUAAGGAAAAUGCUUUACCUCUAAAUGUUAUUCCGGAAAUAUUUGCUAUAUUUUGCAUGCCAACUCAUUUGAGUAUUUAUACAAAUUUUGAACCCUUCUCACAAACAAAAUCAGCAAAGGAAAUUCGACAAUGAUGAAAUCAUAUUUUAAGUAAAUAACUAGCAAUUGAAUAAAGUUUAAAUAUUAUUUCACAGGCUACUUUUGAGUAUACAGCAUGUAAAUUUUUAUUUUAUUUUUUUACAUUUAGUUGACUUGCAAUGAUUUUAGAUGUACAGCAGAGGUCACUAUUG